rnacentral:rRNA from 1 species
AUACGGAGGGAGCGAGCGUUAAUCGGAAUUACUGGGCGUAAAGCGCGCGUAGGCGGCUUUGUAAGUCGGAUGUGAAAGCCCUGGGCUCAACCUGGGAAUGGCAUUCGAUACUGCAUAACUAGAGUAUGGUAGAGGGAAGUGGAAUUUCCGGUGUAGCGGUGAAAUGCGUAGAUAUCGGAAGGAACACCAGUGGCGAAGGCGACUUCCUGGGCCAAUACUGACGCUGAGGUGCGAAAGCGUGGGGAGCAAACAGGAUUAGAAACCCCGGUAGUCC